rnacentral:rRNA from 1 species
UAAACAUAACGUAAUAUAUGAUACAUAUAUUAUUCGCCAGAGAACUACAAGCGAAAAGCUUAAAACUCCAAGGACUUGGCGGUGCUUCAAAUCAACCUAGAGGAGCCUGUCCUAUAAUCGAUACCCCACGUUUCACCUUACCCCUCCUAGCAAACCAGCCUAUAUACCGCCGUCGUCAGCCUACCUUGUGAAAGAGACAAAGUAAGCAAAAAAGUUAAUAACAAAUACGUCAGGUCAAGGUGUAGCACACGGAGCGGCAGAGAUGGGCUACAUUUUUCCAAAGUCAAAAACACGAAUAGAAAACUGAAACACACACUUGAAGGCGGAUUUAGUAGUAAAAUAAACAAGAAUAGUCAUUUUAAACCUGCUCUGAAGCGCGCACACACCGUCCGU